rnacentral:rRNA from 1 species
UACGAGGGGUGCAAGCGUUGCUCGGAAUUAUUGGGCGUAAAGGGUAGGUAGGUGGUCUCAUUUGUCUGGGGUGAAAGCCUUGAGCUUAACUCAAGAAGUGCCCCGGAAACGGUGAGACUGGAGUCUCGGAGAGGGUCGUGGAAUUCCCGGUGUAGCGGUGAAAUGCGCAGAUAUCGGGAAGAACACCUAUGGCGAAGGCAGCUCUCUGGGACGGUACUGACGCUGAUGCGCGAAAGCCAGGGGAG